rnacentral:pre_miRNA from 1 species
GUCACGCUAAAGCAGCACAAUAAUAUUGGUGUUUAAUAUUUAUUUUACUACGCCAAUAUUUACGUGCUGCUACAGCGGAAC